rnacentral:sRNA from 1 species
UGCGCACAUCAUGGGCGAGAGUGGGCGCGCAAAACGAACUACUUUCAUAUUCACCACAGCGCGGAGUGCACACGGCACGGCAUGGCAGGGCAGAGUGCCUGGUGCCUGGUGGCCCGGUGGCUUGGAGGGUCAACCUCGUCGGCGGCAACAAAAGUGAUCUCCGGUCUACUUUUAGGCUGACUGCAGGAGUCAACGCACAUUUCCUACCGGGCAUGCAGAGGACCCCAAAUGAACGAAUGUCGUCGACUUCCACUUCACUUUGCGGAAUGGAAUGGGCUGUGGGGUUGGGUGGGCACGACAUGCUCAAAAGGGAUACAGUUGUUACCGUGUAUAGCUGGAAGCGUUUGCCGCACAUUGGAGAGGACCGAAAACCGGGAACAUGGCAGCUGAGUGUCGUGAACGCGACACACGACAGUCUGGCCGCAGCGCUGCCAGGAGAGAGACGUCUAUCGUCCACCAUUUUAUGUACAAUAAAGGAAUGUGCACACACACACACACACACACAGGCACACACACACACACGCAACGACACGUACACACAAACAGAGACAGGCAGACAGACGUGCGCAUGAAGUGAACUUGUUAAUGCUGUCUAUAAGCAGCAUUUACAUACAAGUUGACCCCACAUGUACACAUAAAUAUGUUUGUGCUUUGUACAUACACACGUAUACAUACAUACAUAUGCAUAUAUGUGCAUGUUUAACUACGAUGUCCCCGCUGAAAAAGCAGUUCACGGGCCUUUUGCUCUUAAGAGAAUGGCCAGCCACAAGGCUUCGAAUGGACACACUUCAGCAAAUGUGAUUACUGUGUGUAUGUACACAUGCACAUACUUAUGCAUGUACAUAGGUAUUUAUACCCCAUCCCCACACCAUUCAAACACACAGACAAUGGAAGCACCCUAUAAAUCUGUUGUUUAACAAUAUGAAGAAAGCAGCCGCUUAACAAUUUCCACUCGAUUUCAAUGUCAUUAUUGUGCAUAUAUUAAAGUCAUCCCCAUUUCUAUUAAUUGAAGACCAGCAAUAUAGCAGUGUGUGAACUUUUGGUUCGUUACCUUGCUGGACUAACUUUUGGCACUUCUCAGCUGAUUGAACUGGAAAUGUCUUGAGAAACCAGAACUACAAAUAAUU